UGGGAGUGGUGUGGUCCAACUGGGCCUUCGAUCUUCAUAAAUCUUGAGAUCAUGUCCUAAAAUGAACUUUAAAAAUUAAUGGACAGCGUGGAUAAACCACAUACAUCACUGUGGGCCCACAGAACCAACGGUUGGAACGCCCGUACCUAGUUCCGUCCGAUGAGUGUAAUCCCCAAUCCGCACCCAAAAGGAGCCCGCGAAUUUUUUAUUUUUAUUUUUUUCAUUCUCGCGGCCUGUAAGCUUUCUCUAUUCCUCUCCCUCCCUCCCUCUCUCCCUCUCUCUCUCUCUCCAUCUCAUGCUAAUAGUAGUCUGGACAGGAGGAGGUGCUUUCUCCAUGCGGUGAAGAAAGAAUCGAAUGCUAACAACAAUCUGCAGAAGCUUAACUAGCAACUCCAAUCCCUCUCUCAGAAUCCUUAAUUAUUCCUUAUUCAUAAAUUGUGGAGGCAGUACAAUGAUUGUUGGGAAGAAAGAAUAUGAAGGUGACUCAUCAGAAAUGAGAUCGUUAGACAGUCUCUUCUACUGACAAAUGGGCUUAUAGUAGCACAGGGGAAGAGCUCUACUAUGUUGUUAUCUGGUCUUCAGGGUCUUAGUAAUGUUUCUUUCCUUGUCUAAGCCUCAUAGUAUGGUGUUGCUAUGAUUCUAUACAUUAUGGUGGCUGUAUAUCCUUUAGUCAAUAAAGUUCUCAAAUUUUUUGUAUAAAAUCUUUCUUAAAAAUUUCAAUGGAACUGAAUGGUAUAGAUUGUUUGUUCAUGAACCAGAACCACAUUGUUGAAACUACGGAAUUCCUGGGUUGAGUUUGAGUGAAGCUUCAAAAUAUGCAAGCUCAACGCCCUUGUAUUGUGUACUGAUUAAAAAACUUUUUUUUUUUUAGUGUUCUGAGAUGCUUCUAUGUUAGUUUGACGAUAUUUCCUCAUCGUUUGAGUACUGUGUGUAGCCAUGUUUUUCCUCAAUGGAAGGUGUUGAGGAAACUUUCCCCUUUUGUGAUUCAAAGAGGGGUCUUGUCUUCCUAAAUUCCUGUCCAAUAUCACGUCUGCCUUAUUUUCAACGGUCAAGAUGUUAGUGAACAUGUCUAUCAUGAAAGAAACUAAUUGAGUUCAAUGAUUUUUGGUGUUUUCCUUUCUGAUGACAUUUGCCUGGCAUCUAUGAUUCGUUGGAAUUGCUUAAUACCUAUUUGCAGCAACUGUUUUUAAGUGGUUGGGACAGGCAAUGAUUCUAGGAAUGAUUAAAAUGAACUUACCUCUAUGUUCCUUUCAUUUUCAACUUAGUGUAGUAAAUGUUUACUUUGUGAAUGGAAAGUAGCAGGGGCAGCAGCUGCUGCUGGUCUUUCUCUUUCUGAUGUUACUGCAGAAGCAAAGUAUGCAUCUGAAAUGGUGGGAACGAUGGGUGUCGCCCUCUCUGUUUGUACACUUCUAGGCCAGGUCGCAUCAGAUCGUUUAGGCUCAAGAAUAAUGGAGCUAGGUCUUGGAAUCGUAAGUUGUUAAAUAAUCUCAUUUUCUUGCUAUCUUAAUUACAGUUUAAUCCAUUUCAGGUACCUUUAAUGAUCAAGCAACCUGAAUGAAGAUCUUCCAAUGAUUAUCGAUCUUUAUAUGUAUCUCAACCACUAGAAUAUAAUUUCUUGGGACCCUGCGAUGGCUACUUGAGAAUAGGACUUCAGAAUUUAUGCAUCAACAUGCACCACUAUGGCUUUCAUAAAUUGCAUGGGGAGCCUAGGGCCACUGUUGCUGACAUCCAACCUGUGGAUGUAGUGGUAUCUCAUGUUCUAAAGCAGAUUUUAUCAAUGGUCUAUUUCACUUGAUCACUGAUUAUUAUACUGCUACUUCUACAUUCUGUUUUGUUGCUUAAAAUAUGGCAUAACUGGUCCCAUGAUAAAACUGAAACUCAAUUAUGAUUGCAUGCUAAAUCUAGUUCUCUUUUCUCAUCUUUUUAUCCUUUCUAGACAUUAUUGGAAUCUUUACUGGUCCCAGUAGUGUUUAGUUCCUUUAAUUCCUUUGCAUUCUCUUCUUAUAUUUUACU